UUUUAUUUCAAAAUAACCUUAGAUUUACAAAAGAGUUGAUAAGAUAACACAGGAUUCCCAUAUACCCUUCACCCAGCUUCCUCUAAUAUUUAUAUGACCAUUUAUGAAAGCUAAGAAAUGAACAUUAGUGCAAUACUGUAAACUACAGACUUUAUUUGAAUUUCAUCAGUUUUUCACUAACGUCCUUUGUUGUUCUAAGAUCCUAUCCGGGAUACCACAUUGCAUUUAAUAUAAUUUAACUUUUAAUCAUGGCUGUGUUGAACAACUGACUUGAGACAUUCCUGAACAGUUUUGCAGCUAUUGAUAUUGUCAUGAACAGCUGAUCCUUACAGUAAUUACAGUGGGCAUUUAACUGAAGGGGGCCAGGCACCCGUCCUUGUAAGCACGUUGUGUGGCCUCAGAAAGUGGCUGCUUCCACUUUUCCUUGCACUGAAAAUUAGGCUGGGGCAUUCUAUUCAGUAUUGUCAAAAGGAACAAUAUUUACUCUUUUGCAGUGUUUUUCAGCCAAUAUGCACGAUGUUAAAGUGCAAAGGCAGCCCAGAUAUGCAUGGGCAUGGGGCACUGUGUGUGGUAGUAUUGUGCUAUUUGUAGUUUUCAUCCUAGGUUUAGGUAGGCAGAGCUAGAGCAACUGCCCCCACUUCCAUGAUUCUCUGUGUAGUUUUUUUAACUGUAUUUAAGGACAAAGGAAGAAGCUCGGAAGGACUAAACUUUUUGACUUUUGUGGUUUAUCCAGAAACUUCACUAGCCACGCAGUUUUAAGUAGGUUCUUGAGAGUUAAGAAGAUUAAAAAAUUGGUACAUGUUACUGACAACAAGAAAAGGAUAUGGGACUUUAUUGUAAAGAUGACAUGCUCUUUUGGGUGACUGAAGUAAAGAAAAAAUUCAAUUAAGUUAUUGCAAAUCCAAAAAUGGAGAAGGUAAUUGAGUCUUUAAAAAGAUCUAUGUUGAAGUCUCAGUCUCUAGGAAGCAGGUAUUCUUAAGACAUCCAAAAGAAACUAAAGCAGCUUGAAAAGUAGGCUUCAGUUUUACUAUUAGAUAUGAGCAGUGGAAGAUUAAAAGCAAGAUAAAAGACAUGCGGAUUACACUGGAGGAAGAGAGAGGGUACCUUAAGAAAAAAUUUCUUAUGUUAGAGGCAAGAAAGGAAAAAUGUCAUCUUUAAGGGACAGAUAGACAGAUACACAAUAGAGUAACUUCAAAAGCUAGUAGAGAAGUUUUUCUAAAAGGUAGUGGAAUAUGGGGAAUGUGUUAGAUGUUACUAGAUCAGAACAAUAAUUAAGAUCCACUGAAGUCAAAUCUAACAGAGGACGGGAAGCAAAGUCUCUAAAUGAACUGGAAUAACUCACUUAUAAGAAGCCAGGAUUCAAAUACCAUGGAGAGUGCCCCCUUUGCGAUGCAGACAGACUUUCUAAUUGGAACUACCUAUUCAAGGUUGACGCUGUCAUUCAAAGUGCCCAUAGAACUUUCGGACAGAUUUGAAAGGGAACCCAGAAACACUGGUGUAAAAUACUCAAAGAAUUACUGGGUGAGUUUCAAGUUGACACAGGUAUCAUGCCUAUGCCCUGAGUAAACACCAUCUUCUAAAUAUGCAUCAGCAUUAUCUUCCCUGUUGUUGUCUAUAGAGAUGUAUUUUGUAUUGCAUGGAUCUGCAUCAUGACUGAGAUUGUUUUCAAUCAAAUUCAUUAUUUUAGGCAUCUUUUUUCAAUAUAAAACAAUUUGUAGGAUUAAUUGCAAAGAAAUCACAAGGAAAAAAAUUCACAUCAUUAGGGACCAUAUGUCUGAUAGCUCUAAGGAUUCUAGACUAAACAUAAACCAAGAUAUAUCUGGAAAGUAUUAUGCCACUCCAAAUGUGAUCGUUGGGUAAUUUUAUCAUAAUAACGAACACCUGAUAAGUGUCGUGUCACUUUUCCCAAAGUGCAUUCCAUGGAACAACUAGUUCUUAGAUGUUGUUAGAAUUUAAAUACCCCUGCCUCUCCUCUGCCCAAAAAACUCCCAUUAAAACGUUCUAAACCCUUUUUAAGUGAAAUAGGACCCAAAUUUCUUUAUAGCAAGUAACUAAAAAUACUGCCAAAUGAAUCACAAAUACACUUUGCUUUAGAGAUAUCACUCAGAGCACCUCGCAUGCUCAGCAUCUCCUUCUAAAGGCACCCACAGUUCAUAACAGGGCAAGCAGCUGAUCCCUCUAUGAUGAUGGCUGUACCAUAGGACCAGCCUCUCAGCUAUCGCUGAUUAGAUCAAGGAAGGCAACUGACUUAAGGAUCAACCAAUCAGUCCACAAGCCGGCCUGUGACUUAUGAUGAUGUGGCUUGCAAAUUACACAGCCACUCUGAUUCUCCCUCUUGGGUCUCUGAAGCAGCAUAAAUGGAGUUAAUUGACCAGCUGGUAAUAGGAGGAGCAAAAAACAAGACUAACUGAAUCAUGUUACUAGCAGAGUACUAGAGUUCCAACUCACAACUUCCUGUUACUACAGAGGAACGCGGAUUCUGAUCAACCAUCAAGCUGCAGUCUUUGCAGCCUCUCAUGAGAACCAAACGUUCAGUUCUUCCUGUAACCCAUGUGGCCUGAUUACACAGAUGACAUUCCUGUUUCCCUUUCUACUUCAUGUAGUUUUAGAAUAAAUUCCUCAUUUGUCAAAAUCACCAAAUGAGUCUCUUUCUUGAAACCAAAAGAGCACCCCUCCCCAUUCUCCCUGUAAUCAGAUUCAUACUUACGUGGCCAUGUCCCAGAUGAGUGUUUUUCUGAGAUGCAUAACACCAAAGCACAACUUUACAGGCAUAUCUUCCAAAGUCACACACACUUUCUACUUCCUUUUUUUUUAAAAUUCUUACAUGAGUUAAUAAGAUAUUAUUAUAGAUAAUCUUAAAACUUCUCUAAUUCAUAUUUUUAAAAAGCCGGUUAUGUGCAAUCUUCUAUUAUUUGUAACAUUUGUAGCAUUUCUCACGAAUAAUUUUGGUCCACUUCUCAAGGCAGAGCGGUUGAAAGACACUGUCCUAAAAAGUAUGUAGGGUAGUGGACAUAAAUUAUAACACUGGAUGUCAAUCAACAGUUUUUUGUUGGUAAA
ensembl:lncRNA